rnacentral:snRNA from 1 species
AGCUUUGCGUAGUGGCAGUAUCGAAGCCAAUGAGGUUUAACCGAGGCGCAGUUAUUGCUAAUUGAAAACUUUUCCCAAUAUCCCGCCAUGACGACUUGAAAUAUAGUCGGUGUUGGCAAUUUUUGGCAGUCUCUAUGGGGA